rnacentral:rRNA from 1 species
CGGAUGAACGCUAGCGGCAGGCUUAACACAUGCAAGUCGAGGGGUUAUAGGUUUUCGGACCUAGAGACCGGCGCACGGGUGCGUAACGCGUAUGCAAUCUACCUUUGCAGAGGGAUAGCCCAGAGAAAUUUGGAUUAAUACCUCAUAGUAUAGUUAUACCGCAUGGUACUACUAUUAAAGUUCCAACGGCAAAAGAUGAGCAUGCGUCCCAUUAGCUAGAUGGUAAGGUAACGGCUUACCAUGGCUACGAUGGUAGGGGUCCUGAGAGGGAGAUCCCCCACACUGGUACUGAGACACGGACCAGACUCCUACGGGAGGCAGCAGUGAGGAAUAUUGGACAAUGGGCGCAAGCCUGAUCCAGCCAUGCCGCGUGCAGGAUGACGGUCCUAUGGAUUGUAAACUGCUUUUACACAGGAAGAAACAACGCUACGUGUAGCGUCUUGACGGUACUGUGAGAAUAAGGAUCGGCUAACUCCGUG